UCUCCGUAGGUGAACCUGCGGAGGGAUCAUUACAGAGUUCUCGCCCUCACGGGUAGAUCUCCCACCCACUGUUAUCGUUACUGUCGUUUCUUUGGCGGGCCGCCGGGUCCCUGGCCGCCGGCGCCUAGCUGCCGGCGCGCGCCCGCCAGAGGCCUUCAAACUCUGAAUGUUAGUGUCGUCUGAGUACUAUAUAAUAGUUAAAACUUUCAACAACGGAUCUCUUGGUUCUG
rnacentral:misc_RNA from 1 species